rnacentral:rRNA from 1 species
UACAGAGGUGGCAAGCGUUGUUCGGAAUUACUGGGCGUAAAGGGCGCGUAGGCGGCCUUCUAAGUCAGACGUGAAAUCCCCCGGCUUAACCUGGGAACUGCGUCUGAUACUGGGAGGCUUGAGUAUGGGAGAGGGAUGUAGAAUUCCAGGUGUAGCGGUGAAAUGCGUAGAUAUCUGGAGGAAUACCGGUGGCGAAGGCGGCAUCCUGGACCAUAACUGACGCUGAUGCGCGAAAGCCAGGGGAGCAAACGGG